UUUACCUUUGUAAGACUAAAACAUAAGGUCUUUCUCACAGAAAAAUACAGUAAGAAACGAGCCCCUUUGCUUCUUCUUCUUCUCCUCUAAUCUUCCAUUAAUCUUCCCAGAUGCGCUACUAGAUCAUCUCUUUUCUAAAAGACUGGUAUGUCUCUGCUUUUUUCUCUGUUUAUUAGCAAUUUUUCUAUAGUAAAAAUUUUAGGGCUUUGGUAUAUGUAAAAUAAAUCAAGCUUUCAUCUCUUCUCCCUUCUUCUUUGUAGUAUGUGAAGUUAAAUAUGAAGUAGGGGUUGACAUAUUCUGGGUAUAUCUCAUUUGUGCAUAAAUAUAUAUUGUUAUUACUACUUAUUGUUGCUAAAAUCUGAUUUGGGGGUUUCUUUUAUGUUGAACUCUUGAUUAAUACCAAUUUUGGUGAUAUUUGGUGAUUAAAAUCUAAUUUAGGUGUCUUGAGAUCUGCAUGGCUUCCAAUUUUUUUAAGGUGAAGUGCUGAAAAACUCUACUUUGUUGGUGAACUUUCACGUUGUUUUGUCCUGCUUUUAAGACUGCUUUGACAUCAACCAAUUCCAGCAUCUUCCGAGUAACCUGUUCCUUCACUCUACCACUAGUAAUCUUGGAGUUUUGCCACUCUUUUAUGCCGCAUGUAUAGCUGGUUUGUGCAGAUGUUGAGACUGUAUUGCCACCCACCAGUUCCAACUUCUUAGCAUCAUCAAUCUUGUCAUUCAUAUCCUCCAAUGGUUCAUUAUGCUGCAAAACCUUAUAAGAGUUUAGAGUACACAACUCCUUUGCACCUUCUGUUUGAUCACCAUGCUGCACAUUAUCUAGACCAACUAUUUUUUGACUUGCAGCAAUCGUUUUGCAAGCUACCAGAGUCCAUACUUCCUCCAUAUUUUUCUCCUCAUUGUUGCUCAAUUUAUAGGCAUUCAAGCUAGCUAUAGAUGCACCAAUAUUCCCAGCCAAAAUGCUACUGGAAUGUGCAGCCACUUGAACACUUUCAUGUCUGGUUGUUUCCUUUUCUUGUUGCAACAGAUUUCCAGUCUGCACAUUUGCUUCUAUAUCCCUAUGGUUGCAUGAUUGCUCAGCUUCAACAUCUAUUUUUUUAAGUAUAAUUGAUUGAUAUACAUCCCAAGCAACAUUAGUAGCAUUCACCGCUUACCACAUUCACCAGUUGCAACUUCAAAGUGUUGCAUCAAAUUUCCAGCUUGGUCAUGAGCCACGCUUGAUGCAUACUCUUAGUUGGUGAUCGACUCACCUCUGCCCCGUCACUACCAGUUAAAUUUUGCAAAGCCUUAAUAACUGAAUUUUGUGUAGCUGCUAUCUCAAUGUGAGUUGUACCAGUUUUGCUUGACGCAUCAAAACCAAGUCCAGCUCUUUCCUCCUUUCUUUCAAGACCUCGACCAUUAUCGUGCAUAACAGUAGGUGUAGCCACUGCUGGUUUUUCAAUUACUUCACGUGCAGAUGUAGUAGCUAGAUCACCAAUCAUAAAUAACUUUGUAUGAUUUUGUAAAGCUGAGCCCACAGCCUGGUAAAUCCUCCCCAAAGCAGUAGCUGCAGGAAUAUCCCUAGGAGCUUUAGAUUUAUUAGAAGUUUUUCGUUGAUCCGUAUUACUCUGCACAGUAUUUUCAGCAGCUGUUUUCUUUUCAAUAAUUUGUCCAGUUUCAAUUUGAACUACAACUGCAUUAGGCACAUUUUUAAUAGCUUCUUUAACACAUGUAACAACAAUCCGAUCAGUUGGUGCAUUUUGAGAAACCCCAUGCUCCACUCGAACUUCAGUAGCUGGAAUAAUUGUGACAUUGAAUUUUGAUGAUUGCGAGCAUGUUCCUCCUACAUUCAUCUUCUCAGUCACACGAUCACCACCAUUACCAGUAGACGACACCAUAACAACCUUCUUCUUUUCAUCCAAUAAAGUCCUUAUAUCACCUUGAUAUUACUCAGCAGAUUUGCCUUCAUACGUAGCUUUUUGAUGAUCAUGACUGCCAUUUUUUUUCUAUUUUCUUGACAUAUGAGUUAUGUAGCUUUUUGCACCAUAGAAAGGGAUUUAGUUCAACCGGAUUUUGUUCCGAAAAUAUGUGAGACAAUUGGAUGAACAAUAGAGUUGUAAUGAGAUGCAAAGUUGUAACUGCAAGUACAAUAGAGUAAGAAUAAAAAGAAAAUGACAAUCAGAUGUGAUAUCUGUGACUAAAACUAUAGACUACUUGACUAACAAUUUGCUACUAAAGGAACCAUGUUGCUUUCUGCCAAAUUUGAUGUCCUUGUCCUCCAACAAAGCUGUAUACAUCCUUGCAAAAAUAGUAGAAGCAAGGACAUCUCUUGAAGGUUUAGGUUGCCCACUUCACCAAUUUUGAAGCAUCAUCUAUAUGAAAAAUCGGACCCUUAUCAUGUGAUGCUGCCGUAUUUUCACCAGUUAACAGAGCAGCAACAACUGCAGUCAUAGCCCCUUCACAAUUUUGCCCGGAAUUAGCCACACCACUAUUCCUCAUAGCAGACUGUUUUUGAACUUCAGCAGGUUGUAUGUGAAACACCUGCUGCUUACCACUAUUGUUAUCUUUUUCUGAUAUUUCCAUAAAACUUUGGCCAGCAGGAAUAACCAAUGCAUUAGUUCUUGUCUCCACCUGAGCAUUAAGAUUUCCAGCAUCGCAAUUUACAUGUGCACUAGUUGCCUGUUACAGAGUAACACUCUACUGAUUAGUACCACUUUGUGACAGCAAAAACUUCUGUUGCUCUAUGUGUUCAACUCCUUCUAUCAACAAUUGUCCAGCUCUUUUUGCAUUUAAAAAAUCCCUAGCAUCUCCUUGAAACUUUUGAGUUAUUAUUUUGAGUAUUUGGAUUUCUUGGAUAUGUUGGGAAGUAUAUAAUCUGAAUUUUUUUGUAGGGGCUAUUCUUUUUGUUCAUGUACUAUUGUAUACUUCUUGGUACCUCCAUUAAUAAACUGUUUUACCUUAUCAAAGAAAAUAAAGUUCUUUAUUUUUUGUAUAGGCUAUUAAAAAUGGUCGAGAUCCAACACUAAGUGAGCUACAUUUGCACGUUCAUACACAUGGUCAUGAUGAAAAAUCUUUUGUUAGUGAGUGAUCACGAAUUGUACAUGUAAGUCGAAAAUCUAAUAAUUUUACUAACUUUAUAUAUGACAUUCACGUACCACUUGAACUACUUGUUUUGCACAUGUUUCUGUCCUAAAGAUAAUUUUUGCGAACUUUUGAUUGAUUGAAGAACUUAACAGUUAUCAUUAAUGAAUUUCACUAACUAUUAUGCUAUUUACAAGAAAAAUAUCAGCAAAUAUUACAACAACGAACACAAACUCAAUCUGAUUUUGAUCAAUCUCUAGCAUUUUAUCAAGCUGCGGGAGGGGAAAAGAAGAGAAGAAUAUAUGGUCUUGGAUCUCAAGCAAAAUAUUUCUGUAAAGACCCGACUUGUCGUUUUAAGAAUUUAUGCCACGUUCAGUGACUUAAGGUCUCGAGCAUCCUCGCAAUAUGUAUUAUGACCCGCGUGUGUAGUCGAGUUUGAUUUACAGAUGAUUCGAAGAGAUUUGGGACACUUAGUCCCUAAGAUGGAAUCUUAAGUCUUAGGAUUAUUAUCGUAGUCGGAACUAUGUGAAGACGACACUGGAAUAGAGUUCUGUCGGUUCCGUUAGCUCCGUUGGGUGAUUUUGGACUUAGGAGCGUGUUCGGACUAUGAAUCUAAGGUCUGUAGCCAAUUUAGGCUUGAAAUGGCGAAAAUCAAAUUUUUGGGAAGUUUGACCGGGGGGUUUGACUUUUUGAUAUAGGGGUCGGAAUGCGAUUCCAAGAGUUGGAACAACUCCGUUAUGUUAUUGGGGACUUGCCUGCAAAAUUUGACGUCAUUCCGCGUUGGUUUGAUAGGUUUCAACACGCGUUUUAGAAGUUGGAAGGUUUGGAAGUUCAUAAGUUUGAUACACAGUGCGAUUUGUAUUUUCGGCGUUAUUUGAUGUGAUUUGAAUCCUCGAUCGAGUCCGUCAUAGGUUAUGAAACUUGUUGGUAUGUUUAGACGGGGUCCCGAGGGCCUCGGAUGUGUUUCGGAUGGGCUACGAGCCAUUUCCUUCUAUUUUGAACUGCUGUUUUCUGUCAUCUGGUUUUCUUCUACGCAAACGCGAAGGGAGUCCCACGUUCGCGAAGAGGAAUUUGAGGGGCUGGUGGUUUGGCCUUCGCGAACGCGAAGCAGGGGACGCGAACGCGAACGCGAAGAAGGAUCUGGGCAAGCCUUCGCGAACGCGGCCAAGACAACGCGAACGCGAAGAAGAAAGGAAGAGUGUGGCCUGAGGUCGUUUGGCCUUCGCGAACGCGAAGGAGCUAGUCAGCUGGUCAUCGCGAACGCGACGAGGAGGUCGCGAACGCGAUGAACGAUUCGAGGCAGUUGGGUUUUGGCCUUCGCAAACGCGAAGUAAUGGUCGCGAACGCGAAGAAGGCCUAUAUGGGCAGAAUUAAAAGUCCCAAAAAUGGGGGUUUGAGUUCAUAACUCAAAAUCAGAUUUGGAGCUCGAUAGAAGGCGGUUUUUUGAGAGAUUCUUGCGUGGCUGUUUGGAGUAAGUGAUUCUUAUCCAGUUUUGAUUAAUUUUCAUGAUUAUGUCUUUGAAUCCGUCAUUUAAUUCGGAUUUAAUGGAGGAAAAAUCAAGAUUUUUGUAAAAUCUUCCAAAAAUAAAAAUUUAAGAUUUGGAAGUCGAGUUGUUAUUGAAAUUCGAUAAAAUUGGUAUGGUUGAACUCGUAUCGGAAUGGGUGUUUGAAUUUCAUAAAAAUUAUGUCGGGUUCCGAGAGGCGAGUCCCGCGUUGACUUUUUGGAAUAAGUUUCUAAGUCGACGUUUUAUUAUCCGGAAUUAUUUUUGAUUAAUUUUAAUGAAGUUAUACAACUGAUUUGAAUAGAUUUGAGCUGUCCGGAAGCCAAUUCAAGCAAGAAGGCGAUUUUGGAAUAUCGGUAUAACUUCUAAAAAGUAAGUGUCUUGCUUAAUUUCGAGUGGGGGAAUUACCCCUUAGACAUUGAGUCUUAUGUGCAAUUUGUGUAAUUGAAAACCAUGUAUGCGAGGUGACGAGUACGUACUUGGUUUAUAUGUGCAAAUUUCAUUGAUUAAAAAUCCUUAGACGCCCUUAUGUAUUUAAUUGGAAAUUAUUGGCACUCAUUAAAUCCUCCAUUUGUCAUGCCUAGAUCCUUGUUUGUUGAAAUUAUUUUUUACAUAAUGAUUUGGUGUGAUUGCCACCUUGAUUUUUAUGUGAAAUAUUAUUUUGUUGAGUUGUUCACUUUCGG
rnacentral:lncRNA from 1 species